rnacentral:rRNA from 1 species
UACGUAGGGUGCAAGCGUUGUCCGGAAUUAUUGGGCGUAAAGAGCUCGUAGGCGGUCUGUCGCGUCGGCUGUGAAAUCCCGAGGCUCAACCUCGGGUCUGCAGUCGAUACGGGCAAACUGGAGUGUUGCAGGGGAGACUGGAAUUCCUGGUGUAGCGGUGAAAUGCGCAGAUAUCAGGAGGAACACCGUGGCGAAGGCAGGUC